GUGCUCGCUUUGGCAGCACAUAUACUAAAAUUUGAAUGAUACAGAGAAGAUUAGCAUGACACCUGCGUAAGGAUGACAUGCAAAUUCGUGAAGUGUUCCAUAUAUAC
rnacentral:snRNA from 1 species